AAGUCGUAACAAGGUUUCCGUAGGUGAACCUGCGGAAGGAUCAUUGCCGAUACUAUUUGAAGGGAGGGUCGACCUCCCUGAACCGACACCUUUCGUGCACUUGGGACUCUCUCGAGUCCCUCCCGUUAUGAAACGCCCGUUUUCUCGCGCGUAUUUGAAAACCCCCCCGGAAAGGGGAAAAAUUGAAACACAACUUUCAACAACGGAUCUCUUGGCUUUC
rnacentral:misc_RNA from 1 species